CACUCAGACAGGAGACUGGACUCAUUAUUUGCAAUGUUUCCAGCAAGACUAGUGAGACCAGAAGCUGACAGUUCGUGGCUUGCUCUGCGGUUGCGAGGCACACGGUCUGCUUCUGGACGCAUGCGCAGGACCGUGGGUUCCUCCCUUCAGACCCUACUCCUCUUCCGGGAUGCCUGUCAAGCACAGGCUGUGCCCAGCCAUGAGAACUCAGUAGCCUCUUCGCCCUCUUCUCUGUCCUCACCGGGCGGGGCUCUCAACUUACUGACAAGACUCUCUAGCUCACGACCUUCGUUCCUUCAUAGCGGGAAUGUGUGACUUCAUCUGGCAAAGAAUCACGGACCCAGACAUGUCAGCGCUUUUAAACUAUCAUUUCAAAGGCCAGGCUGGUUCUCUGAAAAGCCAUCAAAGGCACCUUCUCCUCCUAUAGCAGAUCCUGCCCAGCAGAUGGACAAGAUGCCUAGGACAGACAGCAUUGACUGGGAUGUCAUUGGAAGGGUGAAGACAGCCACGUUCAGUCAGGGAAGUGGCAAACAGAAGCAGAAGACCUAGUGACCCUGGCCCUGAAUUACCGUUAUUUUUGCAGUGAGGGUAAAGUCAAGCUCCCAAGGUCAGGAAGGGAAGCAAAGAAUUGAAAUCAGCCUGUGGAAAGUAGACAUCUGGGAAAAGAAAGGGAGAAACUGAGGCUGAGAAAGGAAUCGUGAACAGAGUUCAGACAGUCCUCUGCGGCACGGGCAGAAUGGAGCAAGAGGCUCCUAAACGGAAGAGAACGGACAGAGGAGUGCCCAAGGCUUCGACUGAAGGAAAGUUCUGGCUAGAAUCUCACGGUUAUUAGGCAGCUAAAUAAACAAACCAGUAGACACCUGUAUCAAAUCAAGGACACUGGCGACCUAACCCAUUCCAGGAAUUCUAAACAGUGAGGGAGCUAUGUAUGCGGCCGGACAAGGAGCUUGUUUCUCCCAGUGCACUAGAGGGUCCCUGUGUCUGUACUGCCUUCUGUCACAGCUCUAACUUUUCUCUUGGCUUUUAUUUUUUUCAUUUUUAAAAUAAUUACAUCUGCAAGCCC